AUUGAACGCUGGCGGCAUGCCUUACACAUGCAAGUCGAACGGUAACAGAUCUUCGGAUGCUGACGAGUGGCGAACGGGUGAGUAAUACAUCGGAACGUGCCUAGUAGUGGGGGAUAACUACUCGAAAGAGUGGCUAAUACCGCAUGAGAUCUACGGAUGGAAGCAGGGGAUCGCAAGACCUUGUGCUACUAGAGCGGCCGAUGGCAGAUUAGGUAGUUGGUGGGAUAAAAGCUUACCAAGCCGACGAUCUGUAGCUGGUCUGAGAGGACGAUCAGCCACACUGGGACUGAGACACGGCCCAGACUCCUACGGGAGGCAGCAGUGGGGAAUUUUGGACAAUGGGCGCAAGCCUGAUCCAGCAAUGCCGCGUGCAGGAUGAAGGCCUUCGGGUUGUAAACUGCUUUUGUACGGAACGAAAAGCCCUGGGUUAAUACCCUGGGGUCAUGACGGUACCGUAAGAAUAAGCACCGGCUAACUACGUGCCAGCAGCCGCCGUAAAAC
rnacentral:rRNA from 1 species